UGGGGAAUAUUGGACAAUGGGGGAAACCCUGAUCCAGCAAUGCCGCGUGAGUGAAGAAGGCCUUAGGGUUGUAAAGCUCUUUCGCCCGCGAAGAUAAUGACGGUAGCGGGAGAAGAAGCCACGGCUAACUUCGUGCCAGCAGCCGCGGUAAUACGAAGGAUGCAAGCGUUAUCCGGAAUUAUUGGGUUUAAAGGGUGCGUAGGCGGACUAAUAAGUCAGUGGUGAAAGCCUGCAGCUUAACUGCAGAAUUGCCAUUGAUACUGUUAGUCUUGAGUACAGUUGAGGUAGGCGGAAUGUGUCAUGUAGCGGUGAAAUGCUUAGAUAUGACACAGAACACCGAUUGCGAAGGCAGCUUGCUAAGCUGUAACUGACGCUGAGGCACGAAAGCGUGGGGAGCAAACA
rnacentral:rRNA from 1 species